GAUGAACGCUGGCGGCGUGCUUAACACAUGCAAGUCGAGCGAAGCACUUUGCUUUGAUUUCUUCGGGAUGAAGAGCUUAGUGACUGAGCGGCGGACGGGUGAGUAACGCGUGGGUAACCUGCCUCAUACAGGGGGAUAACAGUUAGAAAUGACUGCUAAUACCGCAUAAGGCCACAGCACCGCAUGGUGCAGGGGUAAAAACUCCGGUGGUAUGAGAUGGACCCGCGUCGGAUUAGGUAGUUGGCGGGGUAACGGCCCACCAAGCCGACGAUCAGUAGCCGACCUGAGAGGGUGACCGGCCACAUUGGGACUGAGACACGGCCCAAACGCCUACGGGAGGCAGCAGUGGGGAAUAUUGCACAAUGGGGGAAACCCUGAUGCAGCGACGCCGCGUGAGCGAAGAAGUAUUUCGGUAUGUAAAGCUCUAUCAGCAGGGAAGAAAAUGACGGUACCUGACUAAGAAGCCCCGGCUAACUACGUGCCAGCCGCCGCCGUAAAAC
rnacentral:rRNA from 1 species